rnacentral:lncRNA from 10 species
UGAGCCUCCAGGAGGAACUUUCCCAUUAGACUGCUGCCUGAGCAAGAAAUAGACCUUUGUGGUGUCAAGCCAUGAAAAUUUUUGAGUUGUUUGACAUAGCAGUUGGUUUACCCUGAGUAACACAUCACAGAUCUAUAAUGCAAUGUGAGCUGUGCUAUAAGCGAAGCUUAUAUAAAGUGUUAUAAGAAGAGACAAAGGCCUGAGAAGGAUAGAAAGAUGAGAUGAUAUUUAAGCUUGAUAAACAGAGAAGAGUUUGCCAAAUGAGACAGGUGUGGAGACAAUUUAAACAAGUGGUCUAGUGUGGGCAAAGCCCAUGGUGCAUGGAAAUAUAUUCUGAGUAAGAGUGAGUGACAAAGUUCCUUUAUGGGACCUUUGUAGGGGGCAAUUGGAGAAGAUGCUGAGGCCAGAGCAAGCACUGAGGGCUAUAUCUCUUCAGUUUUAUCCAGAAGACAGUAAGGAACUGUCAGUAUUUCCAAGAGAAAAGCAUAUGUUAGAAGGAUCCUCUGGCAUCUGUGUGGGGUAUGGAUGAAGAAGGUUGCACGUGGAGGCUGGAAGUACAUUUAGAAAGUUGUUUCAGACCUGUGAUCCCAGCACUUUGGGAGGCCGAGGUGGGCAGAUCACUUGAGGUGAGGAGUUUGAGGCCAGCCUGGCCAAUAUGGUGAAACCCUGCCUCUACUAAAAAUACAACAGUUAAUUGGCUGUGGUGGCAGGUGCCUGUAAUCCCAGCUACUUGGGAGGCUGAGGCAGGAGAGUCGCUUGAAUCCAGGGGGUGGAGGUUGCAGUGAGCUGAGAUCACACCACUGCACUCUAGCCUGGGCGACAGAGUGAGAGAGAAAAACAAAAGAAAGUUGCUUCAGAAAUCUAGCAGGAACUUACAAGAAAAUAUACAUGCAGCACACAAAACACAGGGCCGAACACUAAGAAAUAUUAGGGCCAUUUUGUUUCUUUUCCCUGAAUGAGGGAAAUGACUGUGGGAAUAAAGAGAAAGUGAGUGGAUAAAAGAGGCUUUUGGAAGCUAUAAAUCCUUGAUGAACAAGUAUUGAAUAAAUGAUGCAGUAUCUUUUGGGGAUGCUGAGUGGUCUGACUGUUAAGCACCCCAUGGUGGGGAUGAGGGUUACUAAAUAACUGUGUCCCAUGUCCUCUCCUCUCACUAGAAGCUCUUAAAAAUCCAGACAUCCAACAAGAGACCAAUAGGAUACACUGAUGUUUUAUGAAUGGGGCCAGGACCAGCCUGAGUGUGGAGCCUCGUGGGCUGAGUUUCCCCGGGAUUCAGAGCCCUGAGGUUGAGUUUUCUACUGGUCAGCUGGAUCAGUUCAGCUGCUAUAAAGAGACAGUGCCCGGCCACCCAUACAGCAUUCCAUUGUGGCAGACAAUGGACUGGUGAAAUGCAACGUAGACAGUCUGAGGACCCUGUGCAAUGGAAACUCCAAUUGAAAUUGUACAUAGUCACUAACAUUCUACCUAUUCAAGGGGGCUGAAGACAGAGUCUAAGAAAAAGCUCUGAAGCCAGAGCACUGUUGCAGCCUCGGCCUCAUUUUCCAACAGAAGUCUUUCAUAUAAUCAGAGGGCUAGAAAAGAAACAGAAAUACAUAUGCCGGCUGCUACAUUUUACAGAAGAGGAAAUGGAGGCACCCAGAGAUAAAGCCACUUAUACAAAAUCAUGAUGGGGAAACUGAGACUCUGCGAGAUCAAAAGGACUAACGCAAGUGAUCCUAAAAUCUAGUGGCAGACAUGAGGCUAAUGAAGACUCUGUUCCUGAUCUGCUGCUGCCUGAAACAGCUGCUUACAACAGCUCCUUCCUCGGGCCUGGAAACCAGAUGUGAGGACAUUUGGGAAAUGAUAAUCCACUUGAAAAGCUGACCAGUGGCCAGGCCUUCUUUGCAUGUUUCUGAAGAGCCCAGAUAGUCAUUGCCUUCCUCAAGGACAGACAACAUAGUCUGCCUAGCCCACCGAGCUGCCAGGAGAAGCCAAGUGUCAGAGGCUUUAGUCCCUGGCGUGGCUCCUCCACUCCAGAGAGGAGCUGAAGGCAAUUCUCUCGGUGCCCCGUAGCAGCAGAGAAAUCUUUCUCCAGCCCUCGUGUACAUCCUUGGGACAGAAACACACAGCCAUUCUCCCUGCUCACAGCCAGGCCCCGUCAGCAUAGAGAAGCACUUAGGGUUCCUUUGUGGGGUGCAAAUCCAAACAUGCAGUGAUUUAAUUUUUCUAACAACAGCAUUUCUAGUCUUCCCACAGCACUAAUCAGUUGCCACUAGAGCAUCUCUUGCUUCCAAACAUUUCCCUUUUUUUUUGCUUCUGGGAAAGCCCACAGUUCAGGACCCUUAUCCACUUGGAUGGCAAUUCCAUUCUUUGGCUUCUCUGGGGUAGAUCAGACUUAAAAAAAAAACGAAAGCAAAAAAAUCAAGCUUCCUUACCUAUACCUAUCUCUUCACAAAUUCCUGUAUCAUGUUUGAUUUAUUUAUCAGCCAUGAGUGGAUCCCACACUGCAGGACCCUAGGCAGUAAUGGAUCACCAGAGGGAAGAGAUACCCUUUGCAGGCCACUCCUGACUUUUCUCUGCAGCUAGUGGCCUUGGGUCAGAGUCAUUUUCCUCUCAGCAGGGCAGGUAUCUCACUUGUAAAAGCUGAAGAAUAGAAAUGUUGGGGCCAUAGUGAUAGUCAUCAGUUGGUCUACUGUGCAGUUUCAGGGUGAGGGUGGCAGCCACAUUAACUACGAAGUCAGUGGCCUCUGGAACUGUGUAAUACACACCUGCACACCCAUGCAAAAUGGCCCACUUGGUACCAGAACUCUAAAUGCGAAGUUUUCCCAAGAGUUUGCACUGUGGCCAAGGAAACCCAGGAUCCUGACUGGCCUGGCUUUUGGAAUAAUCGUCAAGAACCAGGGCUAUGGGUCAGAGACUUUGAGUUUGAAUUGCAGCUCUGCCACUUCCCAGCAGUGAGGCCGUGAACAAGUUAAAUUUAGUAAGUGCUCAAUAAAUCUUUGCUAAUUCAUCAUUAUUAUUCCUACUGCUACAGUGAUCCUGUCUUAACCAGAGGCUGGCCCACCUGUGUGGCUCUGGUUCUCCCUCUGGCUGAAUUGCACACUUCUGCACUUGGUCUUAGCCAAGAGGCCAAGAAGCAACUACCAUUGCACACUUCUGGCCCUGAGGUGCAUCUCUAGGUUUUAGGGCCCUUUCCAACUCACCUUGUCCUUGGUUAUCUGACACAGGAAAUCUGAAUUCCUCCUCCUAAGCCUCAUCACCCACCUUUUCCAUAGCUGCCUAAUGUCUUUUCAUGGAAAAGUGUUUUGGCAGCAAUUUGAAUGAUGAACUAGCCAUUGAGUAUUCACGAAUAAAUGAAGCAAAUCCAAAAUAUCUUGCAAUGAACACAUUCAUUGCAGCAAUUGACCAAGCUGUCUGAGUCUUAAAAUGAAUCCAAGGUCUCCUGGAGAUAUUUUUUGCUUGUCUUUUGGUGAGAUUUGCAGACAGAGCCUACUCCAAAUAUUUCUGAGUCUGUUGUUUAGUGCUAUUUUGAGUGCUUUCACAUGUGGAAUUUAUUCCUAUACUUAGCUCUUACCCAGCACCCUGGGGUACUUGAAAAUGUUUUCAAUUGACCAACUGUAGUGUAUUAACAAAACCUUGCAUGUGCUUUGCAAAGCACUUAAAUCCAGCUGACUUCCUAUCUCAGCCUCCUUUUCCGGCAUAAUCUCCAGCCCAAGCUGUGCUGACCACACCUUUUGCAAAACUUUGACCAAAGAAUGUGCCCAGCUGAGGAUUGCCAGAUCCCACAGACAGCAUCAGGUCCCUAUUAUUGAGUGAGCCACAGAAAUAAAAUGCCAUUGAUGCCAGAAAGUGGGCUCUCAGAAAAAUUUCAAUUGGAGAAAUACAACAGAAACAUACACAAUUAGGAGCAUUGCCCAGUGUCUGGGCAAUGUAGAAUUUUUUACCCAAAGCUCUGUCCUUCUGUGUAGAUAAAGGAUAUCGCUUGUCAAACAACACAGUGGCAAUGUUCUGACUUUCUUAUGCUUAAGCAUGAACAAAAAACCUGGAGCUCAUACCUCCACUCACCUUUCUUUUCUAAUUGAUCAAACUAAGCAUUCUGACUCAGCGUUGUCCCGUGUCUAGGAAAAGAGAAACAGUUACCCACCCGGGAAACAGCGAAAGAGUGGUGCCUUGUAGUAAGGCUCUUUAUAUAACAAGAACGCAAUCUGAAACUCCUAAGCCCUAGAAGAUUUAGCCCAAAUUAAGGACCUUGUUAGCAGCUGAUUCCCAAGCCCUUCCUCUCCUUUCAUUUCUUUUGUCGACUUGCAGCAAGCCACACAAAAGGAAUCUCUUUCUUCUUCUGCCCACAGAUUCCUUUCUCAAAAGCCAUUCUAAGAAAUAAUCCAAUUCUGUCUCAAAUAUAAGGGCUUUCAUUCUCAGUCCAUUAUACUGUUUAUCUUGGGAAUUUCUUUCCAGUUUUAGGUUUUUGUUUUUUUUUUUCUACCCAAAGUUAAGCACAUGGCUUGCACUGUGAGGAAGAUUGUACUAGUGGUAGGAAAUAGACCACCAUCUUGGUAUUGUGAUCAAGCCACAUGGGUUCUGGGCCCCGCGCUUUGUAAGCAUACUUGGCAGAGGAAAAUAUAUUUGUACUAAGAGGCAAAUUAUCCACAGUCAAAAUGACUAAUCAUUGUUUAACUUAAAUGUGAAAGAUAAUGGAGAGAGGAAUGUAGCAUUUGUAAGGAACUGAAAGACUGAAUAAUGUAUUAGCAGGUGAGGUGUGGGCCUGUGAGUAUGGACAUAUACCCAUGGUAUGUUUGUGUGUGGGGUUUAUGUAAAACAUAGAAAGACAUAUCUACUUCUGCAAAAAUAAAUCAAGAAAAUAUGCUAUCUACUGCUACACUAGCAUCACUACAGCACCACUAUUAGCUGCUUUAACAAACAACCCAGGCAAGCUCAGUUUUUCUUAAUUCCUUUAAAAAUGUUUUAUAUAUUUGAAAUAUCAUAUAAUGGUAUUUUGCUGACAAAUCAUAGAAUCAAAUGGCAAAAUUUUUAAACACAGAUAAAAAAUUAAAACCAUGGUGCAACACAUAACACUAUAAAAUCUCUACUUCUGACUACUUCACAAUUUAAAGUGGUGGUUUGUUAUGCGAAUAAAACCUAUUUUGAAUUUGCCCUAUGAAAAAUGACACAGAGAUCAAUAGUAAACUUUUUGGUGCUUCAAAUGGGCUCAAAUACAUCUUGUUAGAAUGGAGAAUAUCUUAGCAUGGCUGAUAACACAAAGGCAAAUGAUCCAGUAGUGUAGAGAAGGAAAAUUGAAAGAGAUUUUAAAUUUGCUCAUUCUGGUCUAGGGGAGGAAUAUUUGCCUGCUAAUUUGCUCAAGGGCUGACAUUCAUGGAGCAAAUUUUUCAUCUUCGUGUUUCCAUCUUAGGGAAUUAUUCUGGAGACUUCAUAUGCCUC